rnacentral:tRNA from 1 species
GAGGCUAUAGCUCAACUGGCAGAGCAUGUGCUUAGCGUGCAUGAAGUCCUGGGUUCAAUCCCCAGUACCUCCU